rnacentral:tRNA from 11 species
GGGGGCGUGGCGGAAUUGGCAUACGCAGGAGACUUAAAAUCUUCGGCCUUCGGGAUUGUGGGUUCGAGUCCCACCGCCCCUACCA